rnacentral:lncRNA from 1 species
AUUUAUUUAUUUAUUUAUUUAUUUAUUUAUUAUUUAUCAUAUUUAGAAUUAUCUUCUAACUUAUUAUCUAAAUUCAUAAAGAAAUUCAAUACCAGGACACCUGGGUGGCUCAGUCAUUGAGCAUCUGCUUUUGGUUCAGGGCAUGAUCCCGAGGUCCAGGGAUUGAGUCCCACAUUGGGCUCCCUGCAAGGAGUCUGCUUCUCCCUCUGCUUAUAUCUCUGCCUCUCUAUGUCUCUCAUGAAUGAAUAAAUAAAAUCUUAAAAAGAAAAAAAGAAAGAAAGAAACUCAAUACCUUUCCUCAGGGAAAGAUUUUAAUACAUUAUUUUAUCUUAAUACUUAGGUACCUAAAGUUUUCUCCUUACAUAAUUAAAUGUGCAUCUUUUAGUGAGAAGAGCUGUGUGUUAAUAUUUUCAUAUUGUUCUCUUUUAUUUCAAAUCUUAAAAAAAGGUGAUCCCUGGGUGGCUUAGUGGUUUAGCCCGUGCCUUCAGCCCAGGGCAUGAUCCUGGAAACUUGGGAUCAAGUCCCACAUCAGGCUCCCUGCAUGGAGCCUGCUUCUCCCUCUGCCUGUGUCUCUGCCUCUCUCUUUCUCUCUCUCUCUAUGUCUCUCAUGAAUAAAUAAAUAAAAUCUUAAAAACAAAAACAAAUCUUAAGAAAGGAUUUCAUUGACUCUGAGCACACAGAUGUGGCAAGGCAUUUAUCUGGGGCGAGGAACAAGUCAUCCACUCAUAGCCUCUUGCACAACCAUGUGUGCACAUGGUCUGAUUGUAGUGCCACUUGCGCCAUGGACAUCCAGGAUAGUGACAGCAGUACCUGUCAGAUGCUCACUCCCUGAUUUGUCUGAUAGGGCAAGGUUGCACAGGGAGUGCCCAACCGCCCAGCCAGUCCUGUCAGAGGGGAACCCACAGAUGGAUCGGGGGUGAAGAAGAGAGUAACAAGAGUCCUUUCCUGUAAAAACAGUCAAGAUGAAAAAAUUAAGAGGCAACUUCACCAUCAACUGUGGAUGAGUGCAGGAGGGAGAGACAGGCAGAAGAAAAGCAGGCAUUGGUAAAUGAUAAUUUUUUUGACAACAUAAGAUGUAAGACUACAACUUAUGGAAAAUAAGUCAUCUGAUUUUUAAAAAUGAAAGGGGAGCUGGGCAGCCCAGGUGGCUCAGCAGUUUACCGACGCCUUCAGCCCGGAGCGUGAUCCUGGAGACCUGGGAUCUACUCCCGCAUUGGGCUCCCUGCAUGGAGCCUGCUUCUCUCUCUUCCUGUGUCUCUGCCUCUCUCUCUGUGUCUCUCAUGAAUAAAUAAAUAAAAUCUUAAAAAAAUAAUAAAAAAAUAAAAAUGAAAGGGGAAGGAAAGAGAAAUGGGAAUUCAAGGGGAAAAUAUAGCCCUCUUAGUGAGUGAAAUUGAGGUUUAAAAAAAGUAAGUUUCUCUGGAAUAGUACUUUAAUAAAGUUUGGAUAUUUAAUAAUUGGUGAUUAGAAUUCUGAAUUGUAGUCAUUUGGGAAAAAUAUAUCUUAUGAUAUAACCACAUCUAAUAACCCCGUAUCAAUAUGUUAUGAUAAUAGCAAUUUUAAGAACUUGGUCAUAGGUUCCUGAAGGAAAUAUCAAGAGUGAAACAGAAAGUAGUAAUGUUUUCUAUUUGUAAAUAACCCUACAAUAUUCAAAAUGCUUCAUUUUGGGAUCCCUGGGUGGCGCAGUGGUUUAGCGCCUGCCUUUGGCCCAGGGCGCGAUCCUGGAGGCCCGGGAUCGAAUCCCACAUCGGGCUCCCGGUGCAUGGAGCCUGCUUCUCCCUCUGCCUAUGUCUCUGCUUCUCUCUCUCUCUCUCUCUGUGUGUGUGACUAUCAUAAAAAAAAAAAAAAAAAAACAAAAAAACAAAAAAAAAAAAAAAACAAAAAAAAAAAACAAAAUGCUUCAUUUUGAACCUCAUAUCAGUUUAUGAAAUAGGCAUAAUAUAUUUUUUUCAUCAUUUGCAGGUAGAAGAGUAAAGACUAGACCAGUUUAGUGAUUGCCAUGGGUUGCAUGUCUGGAAAACAGCAAAAUCAGGAUUAGAAUUCUGGACUUCUGCUUCUAAGUCCAUUUUUAUUUCUGCCAUAACGAUCACUCAUAAUUCUAUAGUUUUUCAGUAAAAGUAGUUAUUAAUUUUCAGAGUUGAGUAA